rnacentral:rRNA from 1 species
GACAGAGGGUGCAAGCGUUGUUCGGAAUUAUUGGGCGUAAAGGGCGCGUAGGUGGCCAAGUAAGUCGGAUGUGAAAGCCCAGGGCUUAACCCUGGAAGUGCAUCUGAUACUGCAUGGCUUGAGUCUCGGAGAGGGUCGCGGAAUUCCCAGUGUAGAGGUGAAAUUCGUAGAUAUUGGGAGGAACACCAGUGGCGAAGGCGGCGACCUGACGAAGACUGACACUGAGGCGCGAAAGCGUGGGGAGCAAACAGG